AAAUGUAAUAAAUCUGAUGAAAGUGAGGUAGAAUUGAGAAUAUA
rnacentral:guide_RNA from 1 species